rnacentral:rRNA from 1 species
CCUACGGGUGGCAGCAGUGGGGAAUAUUGCACAAUGGGGGAAACCCUGAUGCAGCAACGCCGCGUGAGUGACGAAGCGCCUCGGCACGUAAAGCCCUGUCAGCAGGGAAGAAAAUGACGGUACCUGAGGAAGAAGCCACGGCUAACUACGUGCCAGCAGCCGCGGUAAUACGUAGGUGUCAAGCGUUGUUCGGAUUUACUGGGCGUAAAGGGAGCGUAGGCGGUUUCGUAAGUCUGGUGUGAAAGGCGCGGGCUCAACCCGGGGACGGCAUAUGAAACUGGGAGGCUAGAGUACUGGAGGGGGAAGUGGAAUUCGUGGUGUAGCAGUGAAAUGCGUAGAGAUUGGGAGGAACACCAGUGGCGAAGGCGGUUCUCUGGACAGUAACUGACGCUGAGGCUCGAAGGCGAGGGGAGCGAACGGGAUUAGAUACCCGAGUAGUC